rnacentral:rRNA from 1 species
AUGGCUGCUGCGGCGUUGCUCCUGGUGGCCGCGCUCGUCGCCCUUGGUUCCGGCCAUGGCGGCGAGGCCUUCGACCCCAACCCUCUCCAGGACUUCUGCGUCGCCGACUCCACGUCCAAAGUGCGCGUGAAUGGGUUAUCAUGCAAGGACCCGGCGGCCGUGGUGUCCGACGACUUCUUCUUCGCCGGUGCCGACAAGCUGCGCGACACGACGAGCGAGCGCUACGGGUACUCAGCGCUGACCGUGCAGAUCCCAGGCCUUAACACGCAGGGCCAGCGGUACGCCCGCGUCGACCUUGCACCGGGGGCCAUCUUCCCGCCGCACUACCACCCCAGGGCGGCCGAGACGGCCCUGGUGCUGGAAGGCUCCGUCUACUUCGGGUUCGUCUCCUCCUACCCGGACAACAAGCUCUUCGCCAAGGUGCUCAGCAAGGGCGACGUGUUCGCCGUGCCGCAGGGGCUCAUGCACUUCCUCUACAACAACGGCACCGCCCCUGCUGCGCUCUACGCCAGCCUCAGCAGCCAGAACCCCGGGCUGGUGCUCCUUGCCGACGCGCUCUUCGCCGGGGCUCUCCCCGAUGAUCUCCUGGCUAAGACGCUCCUCACGGAUAAGCACACCGUGGACAGCAUCCGGGCAAACUUUCGGCCGUCUUGA